UUAUGGCCAUAUCACGUUUUAACACCAGUUCUCCUUCGAUCACCGAAGUUAAGUAACGUCGAACUUACUCAGUACCUAGAUGGGUGACCGCCCGGGAAUACCAGGUGCUGUAAG